AUGUCAUCAUUAAAGAUGAAGAAGAGGAGGAGGAGAUUGGAGACCAUGUUGAGACAUUCUCUACAUCCAGAGAGCAACAGCAGGAAGAUCACAGCGCUAAGAGGUCUCACCACUGCCCACAUUGUGAGGAGAUUUUCCCAAUUCUAUCAAAGCUAAAAAAACACCUUAAAAUACACACUGGAGAGAAUCUGUAUCCCUGUACUGACUGUGCGAAGAAAUUCACGACAUCAAGGUCACUGACAGUUCAUCAGAGAAUGCACACAGGAGAAGUAAGCCCUACACUGCUCUGACUGUGGAAAGAGUUUCUCUCGACUGGGCAACUUAAAAACACAUGAACUUAUACAUACAGGAGUGAAGCCUUACUCCUGCUCUGUCUGUGGAAUGAGUU